rnacentral:rRNA from 1 species
UACAGAGGUCUCAAGCGUUGUUCGGAUUCAUUGGGCGUAAAGGGUGCGUAGGCGGCGCGGUAAGUCGGGUGUGAAAUCUCGGAGCUUAACUCCGAAACUGCAUUCGAUACUGCCGUGCUUGAGGACUGGAGAGGAGACUGGAAUUUACGAUGUAGCGGUGAAAUGCGUAGAUAUCGUAAGGAAGACCAGUGGCGAAGGCGGGUCU